rnacentral:rRNA from 1 species
GUGGGGAAUAUUGGACAAUGGGCGAAAGCCUGAUCCAGCAAUGCCGCGUGAGUGAAGAAGGCCUUCGGGUUGUAAAGCUCUUUUACCCGGGAAGAUAAUGACUGUACCGGGAGAAUAAGCCCCGGCUAACUCCGUGCCAGCAGCCGCGGUAAUACGGAGGGGGCUAGCGUUGUUCGGAAUUACUGGGCGUAAAGCGCACGUAGGCGGUCUUUUAAGUCAGAGGUGAAAGCCCGGGGCUCAACUCCGGAAUUGCCUUUGAAACUGGGAGACUUGAACACGGGAGAGGUGAGUGGAAUUCCGAGUGUAGAGGUGAAAUUCGUAGAUAUUCGGAGGAACACCAGUGGCGAAGGCGGCUCACUGGACCGUUGUUGACGCUGAGGUGCGAAAGCGUGGGGAACAAACAGGAUUAGAUACCCUGGUAGUCC